GUCGCUUUCAAGGUCGUCCCCGCCGCAUCUACCGGUUCGCUGGUAAUCCCUAAUACUUGCCUUGACUGGGAUAGACUAUUGCAAUUAUUGGUCUUGAACGAGGAAUUUUUAGUAGGCGCGGGUCACUAGCCCGUGCCGAAUGCGUCCCUGCCCUUUGUAAA
rnacentral:rRNA from 1 species